rnacentral:rRNA from 1 species
GGAUGAACGCUAGCGGCAGGCUUAACACAUGCAAGUCGAGGGGUAUAGUUCUUCGGAACUAGAGACCGGCGCACGGGUGCGUAACGCGUAUGCAAUCUACCUUUCACAGAGGGAUAGCCCAGAGAAAUUUGGAUUAAUACCUCAUAGCAUAGUAGUCUCGCAUGAGAUCACUAUUAAAGAUUUAUCGGUGAAAGAUGAGCAUGCGUCCCAUUAGUUAGUUGGUAAGGUAACGGCUUACCAAGACUACGAUGGGUAGGGGUCCUGAGAGGGAGAUCCCCCACACUGGUACUGAGACACGGACCAGACUCCUACGGGAGGCAGCAGUGAGGAAUAUUGGACAAUGGGCGCAAGCCUGAUCCAGCCAUGCCGCGUGCAGGAUGACGGUCCUAUGGAUUGUAAACUGCUUUUAUACAGGAAGAAACACCUCUACGUGUAGAGACUUGACGGUACUGUAAGAAUAAGGAUCGGCUAACUCCGUGCCAGCAGCCGCGGUAAUACGGAGGAUCCAAGCGUUAUCCGGAAUCAUUGGGUUUAAAGGGUCCGUAGGCGGUUUAGUAAGUCAGUGGUGAAAGCCCAUCGCUCAACGGUGGAACGGCCAUUGAUACUGCUAGACUUGAAUUAUUAGGAAGUAACUAGAAUAUGUAGUGUAGCGGUGAAAUGCUUAGAGAUUACAUGGAAUACCAAUUGCGAAGGCAGGUUACUACUAAUUGAUUGACGCUGAUGGACGAAAGCGUGGGUAGCGAACAGGAUUAGAUACCCUGGUAGUCCACGCCGUAAACGAUGGAUACUAGCUGUUGGGCGCAAGUUCAGUGGCUAAGCGAAAGUGAUAA